ACGCGGGAAAUCUUACCGGGUCCGGACACACUGAGGAUUGACAGGCAAUAUCUAAAUCGUCCAAUUCCUAUUAUAAUACGUAUUUAGUGUUAAAUAUGCUAGUCCUUUCAUGAUUAUGUGAUAGGUGGUGCAUGGCCGUUCUUAGUUCGUGGAGUGAUCUGUCUGCUUAAUUGCGUUUCACUAAGGGCCCAUAAAUUCAAGGUAUGUUAGCUAUCGUUUCUCAAUUGACCCCUUGUCUUCGAUAAGCGCGUGUCUUUUAGAGUUUAAACAUUGCGCAUGCUGUUGGGUCCUGAAAGCAACGAACGUGACCGCAACGUCUUAUUGCCUUUAUCUUGCUAUAUUUUAAUUUAAUUAAAAAUAGCUAACAGAGGCUAAUUUAAAAUUAGACGGACCGCUGUACUUUUCUUAAACCAGAGGAAGGUUGCGGCAAUAACAGGUCUGUGAUGCCCUUAGAUGUUCCGGGCUGCACACGUGCUACAAUGAUCAGUACAGUGAGCAUCUCAAUAUUAUACACCGUAUUAAGCGCUUAGUUGCGAUUAUUGGCUCAUUAUUGGGUCUUUUAAUUGUAUUUCUAAUGCGCGCGG
rnacentral:rRNA from 1 species